CCCAUGCGUACUCCUCCAGCGCACAGCCUGAGUCGUCGUCGGAGGUGGAAUUCCUCUGGAAGUCGAACAUCAGCUUGGUGACGGUCUUCUCCAUCUCCAGGGGCAUAACUGUUACAAUGUGCUCUUCCUGGGAGCACUUACAGUGGAGACAAAUCUUCCGGGCUAAACGGGCACGCAGGUCACAUGCCGAAAGCCCCCCAGGUAUGGCGCAGGGUAGGCAAGAGGCUGGGGCUGAGCUCGGCGCUGAGGUUGGUGCCAGGGCCGGGCUGCAUCCUGCUGCAGCCGCUGUGCCUUCGGCUGCCGGAGGUCAUCUGGGGAGUUG
rnacentral:lncRNA from 1 species